rnacentral:misc_RNA from 1 species
GAUCAAGGCGCACAUAGUGACAUCUAUUUGGCCAUAACCAAAUGUUCAGUCUUAUAUAAAAAAAUUUACAAAUGCUUCAGUAUGGUAGAGUUGAAGAGAAGGUUUCGCCAGAUUCAAAUGGCAUAUCGCCUUGUCCACUCUCUAGCUAGUUCAUCAUGUUGCUCUGUCGGCCAAGUACAAGUGGGCGAUGCUAGAGACAAGAGGAUUAUAAGGGUCAGGAUGAGUAAACAUUGAUCUGAUUGCAAGUAGCACUUUAUUAAUUGUAAGAGCAGGACUCCAACCAUCCUUCAAUAUGUCCAAACUAAGGUUGCCAGCAGAAUCAACGUUACAAUGAUAUAUACGAGUUUUUAACACUACCUUUGGAGGCUUGAAUGGAUAACCACUUGGAAAUGUUAUGUCAAGAAAAAAUA